GGGGGCAUAGCUCAAGUUGGGAGAGCAUCAGAUUGAAGUCACGGCACAUUAUCGAAAAUAGCGGAUUCGCAUUCUGAGAAUCCACGUUCGAUUCGUGGUGUCCUCA
rnacentral:tRNA from 1 species